ensembl:misc_RNA Metazoa_SRP Metazoan signal recognition particle RNA
GCCGGGCGCGGUGGCGCACGCCUGUAGUCCCAGCUACUCGGGAGGCUGAGACAGGAGGAUCGCUUGAGUCCAGGAGUUCUGGGCUGUAGUGCGCUAUGCCAAUCGGAUGUCCGCACUAAGUUCGGCAUCAAUAUGGUGACCUCCCGGGAGCGGGGAGCCACCAGGUUGCCUAAGGAGGGGUGAACCGGCCCAGGUCGGAAAAGAUAUGUUUGUGAAUAAUAUUAUUACAACAAACAACUAAUAACAAAAGCCAAAUUUGU